rnacentral:lncRNA from 1 species
GAUAAAACCGAAUCAGUUUGAACCCUACAGAGGAGCCCAGAAUGAUUUCUCUUUGUCUCAGAGGCCUGCCUUUCUCUCUCUGUCUCAGAGGUUUGCCUCCACCUCCCCUGAACCUUGGCCCAGAAGUUUGCCUUCUCUCUCUUCCUUCCCCCUUCUUAGUGGCCUCUGAACCCAAGAAUCUGUCCUGGAAGCCAAAUGGAAAUUCUACACAGAAGCCCGUCUAAGUCUUAGCAGCAAUGUUGUACUCGUUUUCUUCUUUAAAAUUAAUGAAUACACAGCCAGAGGUUUAUUAUGCCACACACAUUGUGUUCACCACUCUUCAUGAUUAAAAGUCUCACUUCUGGGGUCCAGGACAACUUCCUAAAUUCAUCACCGGGAACUGCAUUGCAACAUUGCUGAUUCUGGCCCUAUGAUUAAUUCUACAGCUUUUGAAGAAACCCAAACUGGACAGACAGUUACUGAAUUUUUGUAAUGUCCGAGGCUUCCAGGAGGAGUGACACAUAUCUCUGCUGGAUGAGCUCACAGUUCCAAUGAGAAGAUACAAGCUGAAAGAUUGCAGCAGAACUGGGAAGUGAAAGCACGGAGAGGCUGUGGGACAUGGAGGAGGGGCGGUAAGAUUGAGAAAGAGGUAACAGUUGGGGUGACUUUGGACCUGAGACCUGGGCAGGCAUAAGAAGUCUCACUCUCUAUUCCAUUCUUGGCAGGGGAUGUUUCUUUGUACCAGGUAGCUUUGCGCUUGUUUUGUUCCAUAAAAGUAAAUCUCUGUUCACUAAGGAAUUAUGGUAGUGAAUGGUGACUCUCCGGAAUUAUAGGGCUAAUUCCAAAAUAAUCUUAGUUUUAUUCCCCCACAUUGUAAUAUUAACACUUGGGAAUUUUGUUUAUCGCGAUGUUUAAUAAUUUGGCCAGCAGAGGGCACUGCAUACUGACAGUCUCUCCACACCAGUCGCUCAAAUCCUCAAGAGUUCCCGAAGUGUUAGGCUUAACUCAGGGGUGUUUGCAAGUGCUUUGCUCUUCUGUUUCAGACAUAAACAUAUGUCAGAAAUUAAAAGAGGGUUGUGAAGCAGGAAAUUAGAUUAACAGUAGCAUAUAAUUUCCCUCUAUUUGUUAAUAAAGAGAAAAAAUAUUGGUAUGUACACCCAUGUCUACAGGGUUUUAAAUGUAGCUGUAUUAAUUAAUGUAUUAAUAAUAUGAUAACACUACUUCUUGCAUAAAUCAACAUAACUUCUAAAUUCUCUUUGAAAAUAUUUUUGGUUUUAUAUUGUGGUUUAAUUCUCAAUCAUAAACUAAAAAGUAAAAAAACCUGAUGCCUAAUGUUAUACUUUCUUUCAAACCUUAAGAUAGAUAUUAUUGUUUGAAUAGUAUCAAAAUAUUGUGGUUCUGCACAAAUGCUUUUUAUAACUUCUUACGAUGAUAUUUUAAUUUCUAUUUCCACAUAUGGAUAUGAGUAUUCGAAAACAUUUGACGCACAAUUUUCUUCUCUUCAUCUCCCCAUUAUAAAAAUGUAAAGGUGUGUUUUAAAACCCGUUUGCUCUUGGUUAAACUUGACAAUGUGGAGACCCCUUUGUUAGCUGGUCCU